rnacentral:rRNA from 1 species
UACGGAGGAUGCAAGCGUUAUCCGGAAUGAUUGGGCGUAAAGCGUCCGCAGGUGGCUAUGUAAGUCUGCUGUUAAAGAGUGAGGCUCAACCUCAUAAGAGCAGUGGAAACUACAUAGCUAGAGUGCGUUCGGGGCAGAGGGAAUUGCAGGUGUAGCGGUGAAAUGCGUAGAUAUCUGCAGGAACACCCGUGGCGAAAGCGGCGCGCUGGACCACUACUGACGCUGAGGAACGAAAGCUAGGGGAGCAAACAGG